rnacentral:sRNA from 1 species
GAGAGUGCGCCGGCGGGUGGCUGAGGUU